AUGACAGAUUCUAAACUGCCCGACAUGCAAGCAGGCUGGGAACAGAUGUGCUCCAACCUCAUGUGCGGUCUUGCAGGUAUGAACAUGGUUUACGAGGCAG
rfam:Thalassobius sp. CECT 5114 genome assembly, contig: 0021